CCUACGGGUGGCAGCAGUCGAGAAUCAUUCACAAUGGGGGAAACCCUGAUGGUGCGACGCCGCGUGGGGGAAUGAAGGUCUUCGGAUUGUAAACCCCUGUCAUGUGGGAGCAAAUUAAAAAGAUAGUACAACAAGAGGAAGAGACGGCUAACUCUUUGCCAGCAGCCGCGGUAAUACAGAGGUCUCAAGCGUUGUUCGGAAUCACUGGGCGUAAAGCGUGCGUAGGCUGUUUCGUAAGUCGUGUGUGAAAGGCGCGGGCUCAACCCGCGGACGGCACAUGAUACUGCGAGACUAGAGUAAUGGAGGGGGAACCGGAAUUCUCGGUGUAGCAGUGAAAGGCGUAGAUAUCGAGAGGAACACUCGUGGCGAAGGCGGGUUCCUGGACAUUAACUGACGCUGAGGCACGAAGGUCAGGGGAGCGAAAGGGAUUAGAUACCCUUGUAGUC
rnacentral:rRNA from 1 species